CCUACGGGAGGCAGCAGUGGGGAAUCUUGCACAAUGGAGGAAACUCUGAUGCAGCGACGCCGCGUGAGCGAUGAAGCCCCUCGGGGUGUAAAGCUCUUUCGUCAGGGACGAUAAUGACGGUACCUGGAGAAGCAGCUGCGGCUAACUACGUGCCAGCAGCCGCGGUAAUACGUAGGCAGCAAGCGUUGUUCGGAGUUACUGGGCGUAAAGGGUGCGUAGGCGGCUUUUUAAGUUUGGUGUGAAAUCUCCCGGCUCAACUGGGAGGGUGCGCCGAAUACUGAGAGGCUAGAGUGUGGGAGAGGAAAGUGGAAUUCCUGGUGUAGCGGUGAAAUGCGUAGAUAUCAGGAGGAACACCGGUGGUGUAAACGGCUUUCUGGACCAUAACUGACGCUGAGGCACGAAAGCGUGGGUAGCAAACAGGAUUAGAUACCCUGGUAGUCCACGCCCUAAACGAUGCAUAUUUGGUGUGGGCCAUUCAUUGUNUGUGCGNGCUACGUACGUAAUAUGCGCCGUCGGGAGGUACGAGUCGCCGCGGCGUGUAACGUACGUAAAGGUUAAAGUUAGUACGGCGUUGAGACGNGCCGACGGACGACGACGAGGGAGGAGG
rnacentral:rRNA from 1 species